rnacentral:lncRNA from 1 species
GCUAGGGUUUGGUUUAGGGUUAGCUCUAGGUGGACUAGAUUCGAUAGCAGGUGAAAUGGUUACGGGGAUAUUUGGUCUCUCUGAUCGUCAUCUGACGGUCGAGAAAAAAUAGGCUAGGGUAGACCAAACAAACAACGAAGAUUUUUGGGGUAAAACGUGGUUGAUCCGGACCCAAUAGUCACUACCAUCGGGUUCGGGUCCGGUGAAAGUUUCCGGACUUGGUUGCGGACAGGUCGGUGCACUGUGCAGAGGGGCUAGGCGGAGAUGAGAGGGAAAACGGG